rnacentral:rRNA from 1 species
CGAGUUACGAUUUGAUGCAAGGUUAAGCAGUAAAUGUGGAGCCGUAGCGAAAGCGAGUCUGAAUAGGGCGUUUAGUAUUUGGUCGUAGACCCGAAACCAGGUGAUCUACCCUUGGUCAGGUUGAAGUUCAGGUAACACUGAAUGGAGGACCGAACCGACUUACGUUGAAAAGUGAGCGGAUGAACUGAGGGUAGCGGAGAAAUUCCAAUCGAACCUGGAGAUAGCUGGUUCUCUCCGAAAUAGCUUUAGGGCUAGCCUCAAGUGAUGAUUAUUGGAGGUAGAGCACUGUUUGGACGAGGGGCCCCUCUCGGGUUACCGAAUUCAGACAAACUCCGAAUGCCAAUUAAUUUAACUUGGGAGUCAGAACAUGGGUGAUAAGGUCCGUGUUCGAAAGGGAAACAGCCCAGACCACCAGCUAAGGUCCCAAAAUAUAUGUUAAGUGGAAAAGGAUGUGGCGUUGCCCAGACAACUAGGAUGUUGGCUUAGAAGCAGCCAUCAUUUAAAGAGUGCGUAAUAGCUCACUAGUCGAGUGACACUGCGCCGAAAAUGUACCGGGGCUAAACAUAUUACCGAAGCUGUGGAUUGUCCUUUGGACAAUGGUAGGAGAGCGUUCUAAGGGCGUUGAAGCAUGAUCGUAAGGACAUGUGGAGCGCUUAGAAGUGAGAAUGCCGGUGUGAGUAGCGAAAGACGGGUGAGAAUCCCGUCCACCGAUUGACUAA